UUGUGUUCAGAGUUCGGCCCAGAUUGGCGGGACAUGGACAGUGGUGUCCCUUUCUAGGGACAAAGGGCCGCAGAGGACGUUUUAUGGCCAGGGGACGAAAGGGCCUCGUAAAACUAUCGGUUCCGUUACGCAAUUGUAAACAAACAGCAAUAAAACCGUUUUGUCCUGGUCGGCUUUCACUUUUCCCAUAGAUUUUUCGGCACCUGACCAGGUAAGCCAAUCAGUCCAUGAGUAAGUCCCACAGGUGAAACAGCUAAACAGCAGAGGUUCCUGAAUCCCGAACAGGAAUUCACGACAUGCCAGUCCGUCGGGAGGCCGCAUCCAUGGUAAAAUCCCUGUGGAAGGAGAGUGGGAAGUUGCCGACCGCAGGGCUCCCGGGGGGAUUUUUGCUCAAGACUUGUUAGAGAACUUGUCAUGUACACUUUGGGGUUCACUUUAAUUAAGAACUGUGUUCCAGCCAGCCGGGGAAGAAGAUAAAUUGAGAAUAGGGUUACUAGGGUGAAGGCGUUGAAAGGGAAUCGUAACAAACCACCACCGUAAGGGUUGGAUAGUUGAGGGGGCUCAAGGCGGCACAACACUCAUAAAGUACAUUCCCAACCCCCACGAGAUACAUUUUUGGUAUAGAACAUAUUACUACUGGACGUGAAAUGUAAAUCAGCGUAAUAACUGUACAAAGAAAAAAAGUCGGAACUGGAGUGGUUGGAUUUUUAAGUGAGAUCGGCAAAGGGGUGCCAACCAUUCUUUUGAUGUCCUAAUGGCACUUGUUAAACGGUGUGAAUUUCAGCCAGUAUGCAGGUUAUUAAGCGCCGGUAGCAUAAACGCCAGAAAACAUUUCUUUUCAGAUUUAUCGCCCAUUUGAAUUCCGUUCACCAACCAUUAAUGUCCAAGUUGGAACACGUUUCGUUUCUUCUUAACGCCUUUGAAGUAAACAUGCGGAAAUGAGAAUGAAUACUCUGCCCUAUUGGUAUGUCUUGCGUUCUGCAUGAUGAUGAGCCUGAAGUUGGUGGUUUCAGAUCAUUUUGGGCUUUAUUUUUCCUAUUUUGCUCUAUUACUCUUUUAAAAAUAAUGCACAUGUGCAGUCUCUAAAAUAAUAGUUUACCUAAUUAAAAGGAAAAUGAUAUCACAUGUUUGUAUAAGUAUAUUGUGUAUAUGAAAGUAUGUCGCACAA